rnacentral:tRNA from 1 species
GCCUGGGUGGUUCAGUCAGUUAAGCGUCCAACUCUUGAUUUCAACUCAGGUCACGAUCUCUCCGUUUGUGGGUUCAAAUCCUGCAUCAGGCU